rnacentral:lncRNA from 1 species
AAGUAACAGUCCUCGCGAAAGGAGUUGCAGGCGUUGGAGGAGCUUGACUUUGAGCAGCAAGAACUGACUCCAUCAUGGCAGUCAGGCGGGCGAUCUCGUCCUUCAACUUUCUGUUCUCUUUCUCUAGGUGUUCCAUGAUUCUCAGAUGAUUGGCUCGGGUAUUGUACAUGUGAGUCAGCUUGGCUAAAGCAAAGAAGAAACACCAAUCAGACACCUGGCAAAAACCUGC